UUCUUGGGAACAACCGAACAAGCCUAUCCCCAGCAGAAAGAGCAAGUCAUCAAACGAGAAUCAAAGCAAAAGGAAAAUCAAGAUAGAAUUUGGAGAUAUGCCUCUCACUUAUUCCACCCAACUAUACACCAAAAGAUCUACAUCAGCUGCAAAAGAAACAUUGUUUUUUCACUUUUUAACAUGCCUGCAGCUAGCUUCCUCUAACAAGAACUGAUGUGAUUUUCAGAAAACAUGAAUAAAUAAAAAGAUGCCAAGGUAUAUUUCCAUGUACCCACUACAAGUUCUCCAUCGUUUUUCUUUGCCAAGCUUUUGUUGGAU
rnacentral:lncRNA from 1 species